AUUGAACGCUGGCGGCAUGCUUUACACAUGCAAGUCGAACGGUAACAGGCCGCAAGGUGCUGACGUGUGGCGAACGGGUGAGUAAUGCAUCGGAACGUGCCCAGUCGUGGGGGAUAACGCAGCGAAAGCUGUGCUAAUACCGCAUACGAUAUAUGGAUGAAAGCGGGGGAUCGCAAGACCUCGCGCGAUUGGAGCGGCCGAUAGCAGAUGAGGUAGUUGGUGGGGUAAAGGCUCACCAAGCCGAAGAUCUGUAGCUGGUCUGAGAGGACGACCAGCCAAACUGAGACUGAGACACGGCCCAGACUCCUACGGGAGGCAGCAGUGGGGAAUUUUGGACAAUGGGCGCAAGCCUGAUCCAGCAAUGCCGCGUGCAGAAUGAAGGCCUUCGGGUUGUAAACUGCUUUUGUACGGAACGAAACGGCGAGCUCUAAUACAGUUUGCUAAUGACGGUACCGUAAGAAUAAGCACCGGCUAACUACGUGCCAGCCGCCGCCGUAAGAC
rnacentral:rRNA from 1 species